rnacentral:rRNA from 1 species
CCCUUAGAUGUUCUGGGCCGCACGCGCGCUACACUGAUGCAUUCAACGAGCCUAUCCUUGACCGACAGGUCCGGGUAAUCUUUGAAUCUGCAUCGUGACGGGGAUAGAUUAUUGCAAUUAUUAAUCUUCAACGAGGAAUGCCUAGUAGGCGCAAGUCAUCAGCUUGCGUCGAUUACGUCCCUGCCUUUUGUACACACCGCCCGUCGCUCCUACCGAUUGGGUGUGCUGGUGAAAUGUUCGGAUCGGCCGUUUGUCGCGGUUUCCGCGUCAUGUGGCUGAGAAGUUCAUUAACCCCUCCCACCUAGAGGAAGGAGAAGUCGUAACA